UCUUCUGGAUGAUGAGAAAAUAUCAAAUAUACAGUUAUCCCUGGCUGAUUCACAGUGCUGAUAUUUUCAACUCUGACAGUGUU